AUGGCCCUAUACACCUCAAGAUGGCCUCGUAUGGCCCUAUAUGUUCCCAUUGAACAGCCUCCCAUGGUUCCCCCACCCUAACCCUCUAUGGCCCUAUAUGCCUCAGUAUGGCCUCAUAUGACCCUAUAUGGCCUUAUACACCUCAGUAUGGCCUCAUCUGGCCCUAUAUGGCCCCAUAGGGCUCAGUAUGGCCUCAUCUGGCCUCAUAUGGCCCCAUACACCUCAAUAUGGCCUCAAGAUGGCCUCGUAUGGCCCUAUAUGGCCACAUCUGGCCCUAUAUGGCCCUAUACACCUCAAUAUGGCCACAGUAUGGCCUCAUCUGGCCCUAUAUGGCCUCAUCUGGCCCUAUAUGGCCCUAUACACCUCAAGAUGGCCACAGUAUGGCCUCAUCUGGCCCUAUACGGCCUCAUCUGGCCCUAUAUGGCCCUAUACACCUCAAGAUGGCCUCAUAUGACCCUAUAUGGCCCUAUAUGCCUCAGUAUAGCCUCAUCUGGCCUCUAUACACCUGAAUAUGGACCCCCCCAGCCCUGUCACCCCAUAGAUCUCACGUGAAGGAGCUGCGGGUAUCGGUGCCGUCCACCCAUUCCCAUUCCCCCUCCUUGUUUUCAUCCGUUAAACCGAUCCAGAAACGUUCGUUCCUCGUCCGGAACAUAACGAAGGUCUAUGGGAUAACAGGGGAAUAAAGGGGGGGGCAUUGAGGUGGGGGGCUCUAUGGGGUCCCUAUGGGACUCUAUGGGGUCUCAAUGGAUGUCAGUGGGUCCCUAUGGGCCCUAUGGGGUACCAAUGGAUACCAGUGGGUCCCUGUGGGUCUCUAUGGGGUCUCAGUGGGUCCCUAUAGAGUCUCAAUGGGGUCCCAAUGGAUGUCAAUGGGUCCCUAUGGGCCCUAUGGGGUCCCAUUGGAUACCAGUGGGUCUCUGUGGGUCUCUAUGGGGUGCCAGUAGAUGCCAAUGGGUCCUAAUGGGACUCUAUGGGGUCUCAAUGGAUGUCAGUGGGUCCCUAUGGGCCCUAUGGGUACCAAUGGAUACCAGUGGGUCCCUGUGGGUCUUUAUGGGGUCCCAAUGGGUCCCUAUGCAGGGCCAGUGGAUGCCAGUGGGUCAUUAUGGGUCUCUAUGGGGUCUUUAUGGGUCCUUAUGGGUCCCUAUGGGUCCCUAUGGGUCUCUAUGGGAUCCCAAUGCUUUUCAGUGGGUCCUAAUGGGUCCCUAUGGGUCCCUAUGGGGUCCCAAUGGAUGCUAAUGGGUCCCAAUGGUUCUCUAUGGGUUCCCAAUGGAUGCCAAUGGGUCUCUACGGGGUCCCAAUGCUUUUCUAUGGGUCUCUAUGGGUCCCUAUGGGUCCCAAUGGUGUCCCAAUGGAUGCCAAUGGGGUCCCAAUGCUUUUCAGUGGGUCCUAAUGGGUCCCUAUGGGUCCCUAUGGGGUCCCAAUGGAUACCAAUGGGUCUCUAUGGGAUCCCAAUGGANGGGUCCCAAUGCUUUUCAGUGGGUCCUAAUGGGUCCCUAUGGGUCCCUAUGGGGUCCCAAUGGAUACCAAUGGGUCUCUAUGGGAUCCCAAUGGAUGUCAAUGGGUCCUUAUGGGUCUCUAUGGGUCCCAAUAGAUGUCAAUGGGUCUCUAUGGGUCUCUAUGGGAUCCCAAUGGAUGUCAAUGGGUCCUUAUGGGUCCUAAAGGAUCCCUAUGGGAUCCCAAUGGAUGCCAAUGGGUCCCUAUGGGUCUCUAUGGGUUCCCAAUGGAUGCCAAUGGGUCCAUAUGGGUCUCUAUGGGAUCCCAAUGGAUGUCAAUGGGUUCUAAUGGGUCCUAAUGGAUCCCUAUGGGGUCCCAAUGGAUGCCAAUGGAAUCCCAAUGGAUACCAAUGGGUCUCUAUGGGGUCCCAAUGGAUUCCUAUGGGUCCCUAUGGGGUCCCAAUGCUUUUCUAUGGGUCUCUAUGGGUCCCUAUGGGUCCCAAUGGUGUCCCAAUGGAUGCCAAUGGGUCCCAAUGGAUGUCAGUGGGUCCUAAUGGGUCCCUAUGGGGUCCCAAUGGAUGUCAGUGGGUCCUAAUGGGUCCCUAUGGGGUCCCAAUGGAUGCCAAUGGAAUCCCAAUGGAUACCAAUGGGUCUCUAUGGGGUCCCAAUGGAUGCCAAUGGAUCCCUAUGGGUCCCUAUGGAUCUCUAUGUGUCCCUAUGGGUCUCUAUGUGUCAUUUUGGGUCCCUAUGUGUCAUUUUGGGUGUAUUUUGUGGUAUUUUGGUACCUGUUUGGCGUAGCUGUCGAUGACGAUGAGGCGGGCGUGCAUCUCCUCGCACUCCGCCUUCGCUUUGUGCCAGCUGAUUCUGUUCAGGGAGAAGUAAUAGCAGCUCCCUUCAAAGUAUU
ensembl:lncRNA